rnacentral:lncRNA from 1 species
UUCCACUUUCUUGACAAAUUUGUGCAAAAUGUUUUUAGGUACUCAACCUAUUGAUGCACAUGAACAUGAUGACUCUCUAGCGUUUAUGGACCAACCAACCUGUAAUCAUGGACCUUAUUGUCUUGUAGACCACUUGGUGUUUCGAGUGAUUUGGAGCUUGCACUUUGUGCAUGUAGAUACAAACUUGUGUGUUCUGGACCAUCUAAAGUCUCUGAUGGUAACCAAUAGUCCUUAUCUUUUUGUGACUUGUGUGUUCUAGAUGAUUGUUAAGAUUGUCAAAACUAUGCUUCCUCUAGGUUAAUUUGUUUGUCAACUUAUGUUCAAUGUAUGUGCAUGUUUAUAAACAUAUUUUCAUUGUGGUGUAAUAUGUGUUUAUCUUGAACCUUCUUGUGGGUGUGAGGAUAAUAAUUGAAUAUUUU